rnacentral:rRNA from 1 species
UACGUAGGGGGCUAGCGUUGUCCGGAAUCAUUGGGCGUAAAGAGCGUGUAGGCGGUCCGGUAAGUCCGCUGUGAAAGUCGGGGGCUCAACCCUCGAAUGCCGGUGGAUACUGUCGGGCUAGAGUGCGGAAGAGGCGAGUGGAAUUCCUGGUGUAGCGGUGAAAUGCGCAGAUAUCAGGAGGAACACCUAUUGCGAAGGCAGCUCGCUGGGACGUUACUGACGCUGAGACGCGAAAGCGUGGGAGCAAACAGG